UACGGAGGAUCCGAGCGUUAUCCGGAUUUAUUGGGUUUAAAGGGUGCGCAGGCGGGAGAUUAAGUCGGCGGUGAAAUUUUGCAGCUCAACUGUAAAAGUGCCUUCGAAACUGGUUUCCUUGAGUGUAGAUGAAGUAGGGGGAAUUUGUGGUGUAGCGGUGAAAUGCAUAGAUAUCACGAGGAACUCCGAUUGCGCAGGCAGCUUACUAAACUACUACUGACGCUCAGGCACGAAGGCGUGGGGAUCAAACAGGAUUAGAUACCCCCGUAGUCCCUGA
rnacentral:rRNA from 1 species